rnacentral:rRNA from 1 species
AUGUCUAAGACGCAACGGAAUAGCAACGUUUCUUUCUAUAUGAUAAUAUGCACCGAGGGGAGGAGAUGCCUUAAAAUUGGUUUCUUCUUUUCAAGAGUUGGGAUUGAAGGAUUUGCUAAUGCCCGACCCUUCUCGACUAGAAACUCUUCCGCUCCUCCGGACCUUUGGAAAACCAAGAAGCAGAAUGCAGUGUCUGCUAUGAUUGCCCCAGAUGUAAGUUGGCCUCCCCCAGCCACAACUAUUUUAGCCGAUUUUUUCUUUUGGAUAUGGCAAGUGGUUGUAACUGCUAAAUACAAAUCAAUGAAUGUACUUGAACUGCCGGUAUCAAUAAGGGCAAUGCCUGUUUGUCCACCAAUAGUGACCUUGACUGAAAAUGUGCCAGCAGUGACCUGCCCUGAAACUGCAUGA